rnacentral:rRNA from 1 species
GGUGCCUUCGGGAACUGUGAGACAGGUGCUGCAUGGCUGUCGUCAGCUCGUGUUGUGAAAUGUUGGGUUAAGUCCCGCAACGAGCGCAACCCUUAUCCUUUGUUGCCAGCGGUUAGGCCGGGAACUCAAAGGAGACUGCCAGUGAUAAACUGGAGGAAGGUGGGGAUGACGUCAAGUCAUCAUGGCCCUUACGACCAGGGCUACACACGUGCUACAAUGGCGCAUACAAAGAGAAGCGACCUCGCGAGAGCAAGCGGACCUCAUAAAGUGCGUCGUAGUCCGGAUUGGAGUCUGCAACUCGACUCCAUGAAGUCGGAAUCGCUAGUAAUCGUGGAUCAGAAUGCCACGGUGAAUACGUUCCCGGGCCUUGUACACACCGCCCGUCACACCAUGGGAGUGGGUUGCAAAAGAAGUAGGUAGCUUAACCUUCGGGAGGGCGCUUACCACUUUGUGAUUCAUGACUGGGGUGAAGUCGUAACAAGGUAACCGUAGGGGAACCUGCGGUUGGAUCACCUCCUUA